AGCAGCCGCGGUAAUUCCAGCUCCAAUAGCGUAUAUUAAAGUUGUUGCAGUUAAAAAGCUCGUAGUUGAAUUUCGGGGUUCUUCCGUUGGUCGGGCUAUCCAGUCUGUACUAGCGUGUAGAAUUCCUACCUUCUGGGGAACCAUCAUGUUAUUAAUUUAGCGUGGUGGGAAACCAGAACCUUUACCUUGAAAAAAUUAGAGUGUUCAAAGCAGGCUUACGUCUGAAUACAUUAGCAUGGAAUAAUAGAAUAGGACGGUGGUCCUGUUUUGUUGGUUUCUGAAUCACCGUAAUGAUUAAUAGGGAUAGUUGGGGGCAUUAGUAUUCAAUUGUCAGAGGUGAAAUUCUUGGAUUUAUUGAAGACUAACUUCUGCGAAAGCAUUUGCCAAGGAUGUUUUCAUUAAUCAAGAACGAAAGUUAGGGGAUCGAAGACGAUCAGAUACCGUCGUAGUCUUAACCAUAAACUAUGCCGACUAGGGAUCGGACGAUGUUAAAUUUUAUUGACUCGUUCGGCGCCUUACG
rnacentral:rRNA from 1 species